GUCUGUUAGGUCACACAAAAAAGCCUUAACAACACAAAUAUUUGUUGUCAUUUAGAAUCAGAUCAAUCAACAAAACAGCCUGGUUACAAUGGCUUGCAGUGAAAACAAGGAUUCCAAGGACCUCAGGGUCAAAAAGGACAGAAAAACCAGGAAGUAAGAGUCUUCCAGUAGUGAAUAUACUGAAAGCAUGCUAUGUUAUUUGAUUACAAGCUUCAAAAUAGGAUUAAAGGUGAAAUGAAUUGCAACAGCCAUGUUCAAGAAUUCCUCUAAGUACUAGAGGUCAGU